CUCUAACUAGUUACUUCAUUCCCUCAUGAUAUACCAAUCCAGGGUGUGUAGCUGUACACAAUAUUUUCCAAGAGGGAAAGGCCCUGAACGCUGCACUGUCCCAUCCAAUGAAUUGUUCCGGAGCGUCUCCCUGGUCGAGGUAGUGUCGAGGUGCUUACUGGCACUCAGGCUCCGAACCUUGCUAAGCACCGUCCCCUUGUUUGAACGCCACGUAAAAGCAAAUACCACGGGGUCGAUGAGGCCAAGCUGCUCUUCAAAGCAUACAUGGAGCUCGUGAUGUAGCCAAGCUCUGAAUGCCUGAUAAUCUGCUACAUGUGGUUGCCUUUGUGCAUUGGACGCAGUUCCAGAUGCCUCUAAUUCCCAGCAUAUUUUGUCCGAGCUGUUUCUCGAGUUUGCCGUCCUCUUCUGCUUACAUUUUGGCCUACUUGCUAGUUGCUACUUUGCACGAGGAUAGC
rnacentral:lncRNA from 1 species